GGAUUUAGAGUGAAUCCUAAAUCCAGUGACUGGUGUUCUUCUAAGAAGAGGAGAGGACACAGAAACAGAGAGAAGAUGGCUACGUGACGACAGAGGGAGAGACUGAAGUGAUGUUGCUGCAAACCAAGAAAAGCCAAGAACAACCAGAAGCUGAAAGAAGAAAGAAAAGGAUUCUUCCCUAAGGAUUGUGGAAGGAGAGCAGCCCUACUGAUGCCUUGAUUUUGGACUUCUAGCCUCCCAAACUGUGAGAGAGUACAUUUCUGUUAUUUUAAGCGACAUAGUUUGUGACACUUAAUUAUAGCAGCUCUAGGAAACCAAAAUAUCCAGUAUCAUGCGAGGACUCUCUUGUGCCAGGUCUUCUGCAGAAAGCCACACUUCAGCAUAAAACCUAAAUAUAAUCUAGGAUUAUUGGGAUAGGCAGAGAUUGUUAAUCACGAUGAUGCAUAGGGGAGCUUACAAAUGUGGAAGGCAGCAGCAGAAUGUACCAGCUUCGACCUUCUCAGCCUCAUCUGUCUUCAGGAACUUUGACACUUCUAUUCCAGAUACCACUGCAAGGAAGAGCCAGUUGCAUACAGGGGCAAUUGGAAAGGGCUUUUCCUCAUGCUGUUGCUCCUUUUACACUUUCUGCCCUGAGGCUGUAUCAUGACUAAGCCUUGAAAUGCCACGUGACUAGAUGUCUACACAUACACAGCCUGGAAGUACAAGUGGAUUAAUACACCACAGUGGCUCAGAAAACAAUCUUCCAAAAUCAAGCCAUCAGAAGCAGCCUUGGAAGGAAAUUUUCCUCUCUUCUCCUGUGCUCCUCCCUCUCAGUCCCAUUCUCCCUGCAAGGUUAACUAUAGAAACCAGAAUCCCUCUUCUCCAAGUGAUUUUCAGGAAACAUUUAAGGUUCCAAGGGCUUUGCCCCUACCACAGCAUCUGACAAACAUUUACUCUACUGGAUGAAUGAAAGCAGAUAAAUGCUUCUGACUUCCUCCAACAAAGCAGAUGCCUAAGACUCACGAGUUCACAUUGCCUCUUGGCUGAAGAUCCUACAAGCUUUUACAAUCAGUGGAUCUUGACACCAAGCCAUGGUCAGUUCAUAACACACCUUAAUAUUGUUGAUUCUCCUUCCCUACCUGCCUUUUCAUUUUCCUCAUUCCUCCUGCCCUGGAUUUUGCUUCCUAAUAAAGUAGUAGCACAUAAGCAUUUGCCGCUGGCUUUGCUUUCUGGGGAAUCUAAGUAAAGCACAGCUUUUCAGUGAGCCAAUUGACCUAAAUCUCAGUGAAUGUCUUAAUCAAAGUACUCUCAGUUACAACUGGA
rnacentral:lncRNA from 1 species